UUACGGACAUAUCGCGUCUAAACAUUGGCUCCCACACGAUCGCCGAAUUUAAGCAACUUCGAGCCUGGUUAGUACCUACAUCGGUGAGCGCUUGGGAAUACUAGGUGCUGUAAG